AACGCACCUUGCACUCCUUGGUAUUCCGAGGAGUAUGCCUGUUUGAGUGUCUUGUAAUCAUCAAUCUUAUAUUGCUUUUGUAAUGUCUGAUUGGAUUUGGAGACUGCUGGCUUAAUCGCUGGCUUCUCUUGAAUGCAUUAGUUGAAUCGACUUGCAACGCUACGUGUGGUGUGAUAAUAUCUUCACUGCAUAGUUGUAAUGAAGUUUGGCUUCUAACAGUCCUUCGUUGGACAAUACUUGACCAUUUGACCUCAAAUCAGGUAGGACUACCCGCUGAACUUAA
rnacentral:misc_RNA from 1 species